rnacentral:rRNA from 1 species
GACGAACGCUGGCGGCGUGCUUAACACAUGCAAGUCGAACGAAGAGCGAUGGAAGCUUGCUUCUAUCAAUCUUAGUGGCGAACGGGUGAGUAACGCGUAAUCAACCUGCCCUUCAGAGGGGGACAACAGUUGGAAACGACUGCUAAUACCGCAUACGAUCUAAUCUCGGCAUCGAGGAUAGAUGAAAGGUGGCCCCUACAUGUAAGCUAUCACUGAAGGAGGGGAGUGCGUCUGAUUAGCUAGUUGGAGGGGUAACGGCCCACCAAGGCGAUGAUCAGUAGCCGGUCUGAGAGGAUGAACGGCCACAUUGGGACUGAGACACGGCCCAGACUCCUACGGGAGGCAGCAGUGGGGAAUCUUCCGCAAUGGACGAAAGUCUGACGGAGCAACGCCGCGUGAGUGAUGACGGCCUUCGGGUUGUAAAGCUCUGUUAAUCGGGACGAAAGGCCUUCUUGCGAAUAGUGAGAAGGAUUGACGGUACCGGAAUAGAAAGCCACGGCUAACUACGUG